rnacentral:rRNA from 1 species
AUACGGAGGGUGCAAGCGUUAAUCGGAAUUACUGGGCGUAAAGCGCGCGUAGGCGGCUGAUUAAGUCGGAUGUGAAAUCCCUGGGCUCAACCUAGGAACUGCAUCCGAUACUGGUCAGCUAGAGUUUUGGAGAGGUAAGUGGAAUUUCCGGUGUAGCGGUGAAAUGCAUAGAGAUCGGAAGGAACACCAGUGGCGAAGGCGACUUACUGGCCAAAAACUGACGCUGAGGUGCGAAAGCGUGGGUAGCGAACAGGAUUAGAAACCCUUGUAGUCC